UCAGGAGCCUGGGUUUGUGGAGGGCGUUGCAGCUCAUGCCAGCACAGACAGGGUACAGGGAGGGGCUUUCAAGACCCUUCUGGCCUUUAAUCAGAUGGAUCUUUUUUUUUUUUUGAGACGGAGUCUCACUCUGUCGCCAGGCUAGAGUGCAGUGGCACGAUCUCAGCUCACUGCAACCUCCGCCUCCCGGGUUCAAGCGAUUCUCUUUCCUCAGCUUCCCGAGUAGCUGGGUUACAGGUACGCACCACCAGGCCCAGCUCAUUUUUGUGUGUUUAGUAGAGAUGGGGUUUUGCCAUGUUGGCCAGGCUGAUCUCGAACUCCUGACCUCAGGUGAUCCUCCCGCCUUGGCCUCCCAAAGUGCUGGGAUUAUAGGCGUGAGCUGCUGCGCCCAGCCUCGGAUAGAUCUUUUAAGCAGUAAUAAGGGUCUGGAUGGUUGUUAGGCUGAGUUUGGGGUUGCCCCAUCAGAGACUGAUUCAACUUAGUGUUUUUUGCUUUUUUUUUUUUGUUUUUUUUUUUUUGCUGAAAUCAGUUGCCAUUAUUUGACAUUUUGGAAAUGCUCAAUGUGUUCUGUUCUCUCUGAUUUCUCUUUAAACUUUUUUUUUUUUUUUUUUUGAGACAAGGUCUCCCUCUGUCACCUAGGCUGGAAUGCAGUGACACAAUCACAAUUCACUGCGGAGAGACAGCAAGCAUAAAUAAGAAAAUAGGAGCAUAUUAGACAGUGGUAAAUGGUACAGAGACAUACCAAGGGAGGGGAUAGGAUGUUAGCCAGGAUGGUUUCAAUCUCAUGACCUCGUCAUCCACCCGCCUCGGCCUCCCAAAGUGCUGGGAUUACAAGGGAUGGGGGCAGGGAGUGGGGUACGUGGAAUAGUCUCUAACCAUCCAGGUAUCAUGGUAUCAUUCCCUUUCCCCAGGAUAAGGAUGGUAUCACUAGUGAGUUAAGAUGAACAUUCAGGGUCUGUGGCUCUCAGGGCACAAAUCAUUCCAAUCUUAACAGAUGCAAGAAAUAAAAGGGAGGAAACACUCUUUAGUUCACUGCAUAUUGACGAGCACAACCUUGGUAAGGUUGUGUUUGAAGGGAAUUAUGUAUGGGAAGGGAAUUAUGUUAUGGGAAGGGAAUUAUGUAUGGGAAGGGAAUUAUGUAUGGGAAGUAAGCUUAACCCAGGAAUAUGAGGUCUUUCUUACUUAAAACCCAGAACCUCCUAAUUUAGCUUUUAAAAUACACCCUCUUGAUGGUCAAUUAUUAGAGAAAGUAUGAUGUACCUCGUUAAGGUCGAAAUGGGCAGAAUCUACCCAUGGUCCAAAAAUAGGUGAGUACAGCACUGUGGGUGUGAGAGAGAGAGAGGGAGAGAGAGAGAUCAUAUUUACAUAACUUUUUUUGAGACGGAGUUUCGCUCUUGUCCCCCAGGCUGCAAGAUAAUUUUGUAUUUUUAGUAGAGACAGGGUUUCUCUGUGUUGGUCAGGCUGGUCUCGAACUCCCGACCUCAGGUGAUCCGCCCGCCUCAGCGUCCCAAAGCGCCUGACAAAACAGACUCUAUCUAGCAAUUAGCUACCAACAUGACAGACAACGGGCCCUGAAAGAAAAUACUUUACAGAGUUUGACAGUAUUUCAAUUUUAUUGCAUAUAUUAUAUUGCAUAUUGCAGGUAAGGGGGGAAGCUGCUGUGUACUUCUAUAUGUGUCGCAUGUGAAGCGUGGCCAAAAGGGAUUACUGGCAUGUACCCCCACACCCAACAUGGGUGGCUUAUAUCUUUUUAAGUUUACUUAUUGUAAGUCAUGUUUGAAGGAAUUUGGGAGGAGCAACCUUGCAAGAACCUUGGUCUUUUUACACCCAGAAAUUGGUUUUUGGUUUCACUGACUUCAAGAAUAAAACCGCAAACAACUUUCGCAGUGAGUGUUCCGUUCCUCCUAAUGGGCUCGUCGUCUCUUAUCACAGCACAGAAAACCCCAACGGGUUACCACUACAAGCUCCGGCAGCCUGCUUUUAUUCUUUUAUCUGGCCCCACCCACAUCCUGCUGAUUGGUAGAACCAAGUGGUCUGUUUUGACAGGGCGCUGAUUGGUGCGUUUACAAUCCCUGAGCUAGACAUAAAGGUUCUCCAAGGCCCCACCAGAGUAGCUAGAUAUAGAGUGUCAAUUGGUGCAUUCACUAAACCUUGAGCUAGAUGCAGGAUGCUGAUUGGUGUGUUUACAAACCUUGAGCUAGAUACAGAGUGCCGAUUGGUGUAUUUACAAUCGCUGGGCCAGACACAAAUGUUCUCCAUGGUCCCCACCA
rnacentral:lncRNA from 10 species